AUUUUUAAUUAUUCCUAUAAAGUAUUGCUGGAUAUAGUACAUAUUGGGUUGUAAGUUUAAUUUUUGCAAGGGAUUGGUUAAUUGGUGGGUAAUCUAUGAUUUCAGCACAGGAGAACUCUGAAUUUUUGUAUAUCGGCAGCAACUACCUGAGAUCCUUGUGUUGUUUUAGAAGGACAAAUAUAUAUAACGAGUGUACUUUUAAGAUUUUCUUACUAUUUUGAUGUGUAAAAAUUUUUAAUUAUAAUUGAUACACGGUUAAAUGAGUUAGUACAUAUGGUUUUGUUUGAUGAGGAUAAUGAUUUACAGGUCAAUAAACUGAAUCAUGAGACCCCUGUUAAUUAUGACAAGGAAUAUAUAAGUUAUAGAUGUAUAUGAUUGUUAAUAGUAUACAGUUGGAUAGUUUUAACUAGUAGAAUUGAUGUUAAGCAAAUAGCUAUUUUCACUAA